rnacentral:rRNA from 1 species
GGUUCCUACGGGGCGCAGCAGUAGGGAAUUUUCGUCAAUGGGCGCAAGCCUGAACGAGCAAUGCCGCGUGAACGAGGAAGGUCUUCGGAUCGUAAAGUUCUGUUGAAGGGGAAAAAGAGCGGAGAGAGGAAAUGGUCUCCGAUUGAUAUUACCCUUCGAGGAAGUCACGGCUAACUACGUGCCAGCAGCCGCGGCAAUACGUAGGUGGCGAGCGUUAUCCGGAAUGAUUGGGCGUAAAGGGUGCGUAGGCGGCCUGCUAAGUCUGGAGUGAAAGGUACCGGCUCAACCCCGGGACUGCAUUGGAA